rnacentral:rRNA from 1 species
UACGGAGGGUGCAAGCGUUAGUCGGAAUUACUGGGCGUAAAGCGCACGUAGGUGGUUUGUUAAGCUAGCUGUGAAAUCCCCGGGCUCAACCUGGGCACUGCAGUUAGAACUGGCAAGCUAGAGUAGGGUAGAGGGGUGUGGAAUUCCAGGUGUAGCGGUGAAAUGCGUAGAUAUCUGGAGGAACAUCAGUGGCGAAGGCGACACCCUGGACUCAUACUGACACUGAGGUGCGAAAGCGUGGGGAGCAAACAGG